UAAACCGUUUAUUUCUUUAUCAAAAACGGGCUGUUCGUAUUAUAUCUCAUUCACCACCUCUAGCGCAUUCUCGUCCUUUAUUUAAUCAAAUGAAAAUAUUAAAUAUAUUUGAAAUAUUUAGUUAUCAAGUAAGUUGCUUCAUCUUUCAACAUAAUAACAACCUCUUGCCACAACCUAUUGCUUCACUUUUUACUGUAAACAGUGAAAUGCAUCAUCACAAUACUAGACAAAAACAUAAUCUCC